UUAUACGGAUCAUUGCUUAUUAGCGUGUAGAGAUAUGACGAAUUCACCUGGAGUAUCUUUUUCACGUCUUGCGGGUCUGUCUACAGAUGACAAUAAAGCUAAGUGCAUGCUUUCAAUGAUUAUUAAUUUAGUUAUACAAAAUAAUACAAAAACACACAAGAAAAGUAUUAUGAAGUUAUUGUUGUCGAUCUUAAAAAACGCUUGCUAUGCAGUGGAAGGCAGAGUAGCAGUUUACAAGAGUGAGGUAUUAUCCCACAUUAAAUCCAAA